CUUUCCGUAAAGGUAACUUGGGGAAGGACCAUUA
rnacentral:rRNA from 1 species